GCGGAAGUAGCGCAGCGGUAGCGCGCCUCCUUGCCAAGGAGGAGGUCGCGGGUUCGAAUCCCGUCUUCCGCUCCA
rnacentral:tRNA from 2 species